AUGAGCAGCGCCCGCUCGCCGUCGGCGGCGCCGGAGCUGCUGGACGACGACGACCUGCUGCCGGAGAUCCUCCUCCGUCUCCCCCCGCAGCCGUCCUCCCUCCCCCGCGCAUCCCUCGUCUCCAAGCGCUGGCGCAGCGUCGCCUCCGACCCGGCCUUCUCGCGCCGCUUCCGCCGCCACCACCGCCUCAACCCUCCCCUCCUCGGUUUCUUCCGCGUGGAGCUGAGGGUCCGCUUCGAGCCCCGCUUCGAGCCUUCCCUCGACGCCCCAAAUCGGAUCCCACCCGAACGCCUUUCCUGGCGAUGGAACAAGGGUGACGACUGCUACUCCUCAACAGAGCGCACACGCAGGUCCUGGUCUGGGACCCUGUCACCGGCGACCGGCGCCGCGUCGCCGUUCCACCGGGGCUCAAAACUGUUGGAGCCCCGAUCAGCGGGACGGUGCUUCGCGGUGCCGGAGACGACGACCACUUCCAGGUGGUCUUGAUUGGCUUCUAGUGGCUCGUCGCAGGGUGCGGGACCGGCGGUGCCCACGGAAGACCUAGGGGUGGAUGACUUGAUCGCGAUCACUGCACUCCUGGAGGAGUCGACCCUUCCCCCUGGUGCCUCGGCCGCGUUGCUCCAUGCCUCUCCCGAGCCCUCCGGCCCCAUCGGCGAUGUGGGUGGUUGUUUGGGGGCCGAGAGUGACACCAGCAACGUCGGCCUUGACGUAUGCCCCCCGUCCUCGCCAGAGCUAGCGUCGCCCGUGGCCGCGACGGUCUCCCUGCCUACCUCGCCAGUCCCUCCUUCGGCAGCUCUGUUGUCGGCGCCGCCGAGUCGUCCUCCACGCAGCAAGGGGCAUCCGCGCUCAUCUUCGCCGCCUGCCACGCUCACGCGUAAGAGCGCUCGCCUGGGCGUGGCGGUGGCGACGGUUGGUGGCUCGCCCAACGUGGUGGAGAAGGCUCUGCGGCGUGCUGCGGCACGCAAGCUCGACCCAGGUCCGUCUCAUUCGCCGUCUUUAUUUCCUGCUUUGACUGAUGAUGAUGUGUCCGACUUCUCUGUCCUGGCGGGUGUGCCUCUCGGCCACUUAGCCAAAAUUGCGGUGGACUCUGCCAUUGUUUCUCGAGGGGAGAAAGGCCCUGCCCUAGAGUUGAUUGCGGUCAUCCAGGCCAAGGAGGUACUGGAGGGUUGCCUCGCGAUGGCUAGAGCGAGGGCCACCGAGGAAUCCUUGGAGGUGGCUCCCAACACGCCUUGGCCCCCGGUCUGUGGGUUGCCCGACCCUCUUCCUCCGGACAAGGUCUAG
rnacentral:rRNA from 1 species